GGAGGCAGCAGUGGGGAAUAUUGCACAAUGGGGGAAACCCUGAUGCAGCAACGCCGCGUGAGUGAUGAAGGCCUUCGGGUUGUAAAGCUCUGUCUUUGGGGACGAUUAUGACGGUACCCAAGGAGGAAGCCACGGCUAACUACGUGCCAGCAGCCGCGGUAAU
rnacentral:rRNA from 1 species